AGAGGAUAAACAUUUCCAGCAACAUGAAGAGCAAGAGAGGAUCCAAAACUAGUAAAUUUGUACCAAAUUUGAGAAAUGUGUGACAAAUAGUAGUUUUAAUUUGCUGUAGUUCAUGAGAAUGGAGAAUAAGUGAAGUGAUAAAAUGUCGUAUGUGGGCUGAAUUGUUUAAGGCAUGGCUAUGUUAGUGUUCAACCAGCGAAUGGAGAGCCAAAAGUGUGGAGGUGUGGUUCUAUGCUGGGAAGAACUAAAGUUACAUUUUGGCUGUGCAUUGAUGCUGUUGAGACUCAAGAGUGGAGUAUAGAGGAUAUACCUGCUUCGAUGGGAGAUGAACUAGAAAGGAAAUCGAUGGGACUUAACCAACUGAGGGGAGAUCAAGAGGGAGUGACUGUGAGACUGCACUUGGGCUGAGAGAGGAAGUGAGGCCAUGAGUGGUGGCGGCAAGGUGGGUUGAGUCAGUGUCUGAAUAAUUCAACAAGGCAGAGAGAGAAUGAAGAAGAGGGUGACUUGACAUGAGAUUAGUCAAAGGUGGGGGAUGGGGCCAAGACAACUAAAUCUAAGUGAGGUUUAGUUUUUAGGUUGCAAAUGAGUGGAACCCUGUGUCCAAGAUGCAACCUUUAAUUCUUUGGUUCGUUAUUGUGUUUUUGAAUUUGAAAACUGAAAUUAUCAGAAAUUCUAUAGAAUAAAACCUAAUCGAACUGUUUAACAAUAAAAAGUGAACCACAAAAAAUGAAAUUGAUCAGUUCAGUUGACUUUUUUCGGUUUGAACUGUAUUCUGCUCACCCCUAAUCACUAAUGCACGUUACUUUGAUUGAACUUCAAUUUCUAACUUAUAAAUCAAUGGACAUCUAUCUAAACAUAAUAAUUCCAAUAACACCAUAUUUGGGCUUGAUCCUAAUUGGAAUACUGACAUGGACUACAUGUUUGCAACUUUUAUCAGUUGUAGAUGUAAAUUAGCUGCAUAGGCUACACCUUCAUUCUCCUUUCUCAUCCACCUCUCUAUCCUCUUUCAUCCACCUCCAUCCUCUCUGAGUAAAUUGUGCCGCAUAAACUACACUUUUCCUCUCUAUCUCUCUCUCUCUCUCU
rnacentral:misc_RNA from 1 species